GACAGAGGGUGCAAGCGUUGCUCGGAAUUAUUGGGCGUAAAGCGCGUGUAGGCGGCUUGGCAAGUCGGGUGUGAAAGCCCUGGGCUCAACCCAGGAAGUGCGCCCGAAACUGCUUUGCUUGAGUACCGGAGAGGGUCGCGGAAUUCCCCAAGUAGAGGUGAAAUUCGUAGAUAUGGGGAGGAACACCGGUGGCGAAGGCGGCGACCUGGACGGAUACUGACGCUGAGACGCGAAAGCGUGGGGAGCAAACAGG
rnacentral:rRNA from 1 species